UACAUAGGGGGCAAGCGUUGUUCGGAAUUACUGGGCGUAAAGGGCGCGUAGGCGGCCUUCUAAGUCGAACGUGAAAUCCCCGGGCUCAACCCGGGAACUGCGUCCGAGACUGAAAGGCUUGAAUCCGGGAGAGGGAUGUGGAAUUCCAGGUGUAGCGGUGAAAUGCGUAGAUAUCUGGAGGAACAUCGGUGGCGAAGGCGGCAUCCUGGACCGGUAUUGACGCUGAGGCGCGAAAGCGUGGGGAGCAAACGGG
rnacentral:rRNA from 1 species